GACGAACGCUGGCGGCGUGCCUAAUACAUGCAAGUCGAACGCAGUGGGGACGGGUGAGUAACACGUGGGUAACCUCCCAUCAGAGGGGAUAACACUUUGAAACAGGUGCUAAACCGAUACUGAUGGAUGGAUCCGCUGUGCAUUAGCUAGUUGGUGAGGUAACGGCUCACCAAGGCCACGAUGCAUAGCCGACCUGAGAGUGUGAUCGGCCACACUGGGACGGAGACACGGCCCAGACUCCUACGGUAGGCAGCAGUAGGGAAUCUUCGGCAGUGGACGAAAGUCUGACCGAGCAACGCCGCGUGAGUGAAGGAGGUUUUCGGUUCGUAAAACACUGUUGUUAGGGAAGCGGUAUCUAUCCAGAAAGCCACGGCUAACUACGUGCCAGCAGCCGCGGUAAUUC
rnacentral:rRNA from 1 species